ACUUGUUUUAAGAGUUUGGUAAAGGAAAUUACAGUUCAAGAAAUCACUGAUUGACGUGUGCUAACAUCAAGAAAUCUCUUGAACACUUGUCAAAAUAAAAUCCACUCUUUCAUGGCAUGCUUUUUAUGCUCCUUAUGAUAUUGAUUUUACCAAGUGCUCUCGAAAAUGUGCUCAUUCAAUCUGUGUUUACAUUCUUAGUGAACCAAAAACUUAUUUGGACCUUCACCAUCCCAGACUUAAUGAAUGUGUUUAUCCGCGAGAGGAGAAGGGCCAAUUUUGAAAGCAUUAGCGAAAAAGUGUGAAAGGCAAACAAAGGGGGGAAAAAAAGGAAAAAAAAGAGCUUCGACAGUCAAAAUUUUCUCAGAAGACGUUGAGCUGAGAAGUUCUGUAGCUAUAGCAACUGGCAAGCAGCAUCUCCUGCAGGGAAUGAAAACAGGAUUCAUGAUUCAUUUCCAAACAACAACAGACUGAGACUCCAAAUACACUGAGGUAAACUGCCACCCCCAGAAAGUCAGGCUUACAGCUGUGAGACGGAGGGACCAAGGCCAGGGCAAAUAACAACAACCACUUUCAUCCGCAAACUCAACUGCAUCUCUUCUGGUCAUUGCUGUCCGUUUGCCUCCAGCAAGCUUAGCUAUGCUUACUUGCAAGGACAAAUUGCUCCAAGACAGUUUUGCCAACUCUCCUCUGCCCCCUUCUCCACCUGAACCAUGCGAUGUCGGGGACCUGGCUCUACCACCAUCAGCGUCUGGGCUCUGGGAGUUUUUACAUCUACGAUCCAAGCGUAUCCCACCAGGCUAAAGAUGUCAUCUACCCAGAGCUUUACCACCAGCAAGACUAUGGCUAAUUCAUGCACUUUUUGUUUCACAAAUAUAUCUUUCUUCGCAUUUCAAGAUCUCUCCUUACAGAAAUGUAAUUGUAUUGUUAUCUGUCACAUUGUUUUAGUAAAUGCUGUCUAAUGGCCAGGACUCCCUCGGAAAAGACGUUUUUGACUUCCUUCCACUUAAAUAACAUUUUAAAAAUGUUAAAAAAAAAGGAAAAUUGUAGAGGGUCAUUAUAUUGUAACUUAAAAAGAAUAAAUGAGCAAUUAGAAAAAAUAA